rnacentral:misc_RNA from 1 species
GAUGAAGAACGUAGCGAAAUGCGAUACGUAAUGUGAAUUGCAGAAUUCAGUGAAUCAUCGAAUCUUUGAACGCAUAUUGCGCUCUCUGGUAUUCCGGAGAGCAUGCUUGUUUGAGUAUCAGUAAACACCUCAACUUCCAUAUCUUUUUUGAAAUGGGAGUUGGACUUGAGUGAUCCCAACGCUUUUCCUCACCGAAAAGUGGCGGGUUACUUGAAAUGCAGGUUCAGCUGGACUUUUCUCUGAGCUAUAAGCAUAUCUAUUUAGUCUGCCUAAAAAACAGAUUAUUACCUUUGCUGCAGCUAACAUAAAGGAGAUUAGUUCUUGUGCUGACUGAUGCAGGAUUCACAAAGACAGGCUUCGGCCGACUUUGUAAACUCGAUCUCAAAUCAAGUAAGACUACCCGCUGAACUUAAGCAUAUCAAUAAGCGGAGGA